GACCAUAACGCUGCAGAUCGCCGGAGUUCCCUGCCGCUGGACCUUCCGUGAUCAGACAUGUUAUCCCCUAUAUAGGGGCAGAGUACCUCUUUAAGUUUAUCCAGACCCAACACUUUACUGCCUUCAUCAGAAGACCAAGGUUUAAUCCACAAGGCUUUGAGUUAAGUUGCGGCUGGCCACCUUCUUUCAACAAGAAAGAACUCCACUGAAUAGGAGCUGAGGCAGUAUUAAUGUUGCUGAAGGUCAAAGAUUGCCAGACUUCAUUCUGCUGCUGUCAGGGCAUGUAUAUCGGAGAAGAUCCAAAGCAUCAACACCUUUCAAAGCCCGUCCUUUCAAACCUCAUUUUAUCUCUUCUGUUGAUAAACUAGUGUGCAGCAUAUUUAAUGUACAU